CUUGGUAGAGGAAGUAAAAGUCGUAACAAGGUUUCCGUAGGUGAACCUGCGGAAGGAUCAUUAACACGUUAUCCACGUAUCAACCAACGAGAACCCGUUUUCGCCCUCUCUUCCUGAGAAUGAAUUGGAGCUUGCUUAGAGUUGUUGAAUGGGAUGCUUGCGUCAGACUCUACUCGCCACUUACCGGACAGGCGCGCUUCAUUGCGCAUCCCCUGAAACGUAGACAAUUGGAUCUCUGUGAAGACUCUCUCUCACCGUUCGGGUCUCCAUUCAUUGACUUUUUCGGUGGGAACUCAUACUAACCCCUUUCACCCCUCUUUUUUGCUAGUUGACUUUUAUAUGUUGCUUCUGCGUCUGCCUCGGCAGUGCGAGCACACGUUUAAUUAUUUGAACGUUAAAAAUACAACUCUUAGCAAUGGAUAUCUAGGUUCUC
rnacentral:misc_RNA from 1 species